CACAGGUAGGUAAUGGUCAAACACAGGUAGGUAAUGGUCAAACACAGGUAGGUAAUGGUCAAACACAGGUAGGUAAUGGUCAAACACAGGUAGGUAAUGGUCAAACACAGGUAGGUAAUGGUCAAACACAGGUAGGUAAAGGUCAAACACAGGUAGGUAAAGGUCAAACACAGGUAGGUAAAGGUCAAACACAGGUAGGUAAAGGUCAAACACAGGUAGGUAAAGGUCAAACACAGGUAGGUAAUGGUCAAACACAGGUAGGUAAAGGUCAAACACAGGUAGGUAAUGGUCAAACACAGGUAGGUAAUGGUCAAACACAGGUAGGUAAUGGUCAAACACAGGUAGGUAAUGGUCAAACACAGGUAGGUAAUGGUCAAACACAGGUAGGUAAAGGUCAAACACAGGUAGGUAAAGGUCAAACACAGGUAGGUAAUGGUCAAACACAGGUAGGUAAUGGUCAAACACAGGUAGGUAAUGGUCAAACACAGGUAGGUAAUGGUCAAACACAGGUAGGUAAUGGUCAAACACAGGUAGGUAAUGGUCAAACACAGGUAGGUAAUGGUCAAACACAGGUAGGUAAUGGUCAAACACAGGUAGGUAAUGGUCAAACACAGGUAGGUAAUGGUCAAACACAGGUAGGUAAAGGUCAAACACAGGUAGGUAAUGGUCAAACACAGGUAGGUAAUGGUCAAACACAGGUAGGCAUACAGGCAGGUGAAUCAAAACUCCCUCAGAUAAACAAACAAGCAGGCAUAAACAAGCAGGCAUAAACAAGCAGGCGUAAACAAGCAGGCGUAAACAAGCAGGCAUAAACAAGCAGGCGUAUAAACAAGCAGGCGUAUAAACAAGCAGGCAGGCAUAAACAAGCAGGCGUAUAAACAAGCAGGCAUAAACAAGCAGGCGUAUAAACAAGCAGGCAUAAACAAGCAGGCAUAAACAAGCAGGCAUAAACAAGCAGGCGUA